ACGGGAGGCAGCAGUGAGGAAUAUUGGUCAAUGGGCGGAAGCCUGAACCAGCCAUGCCGCGUGCAGGAAUAAGGCCCUAUGGGUCGUAAACUGCUUUUGCCUGGGAGCAAUAAGGUCUACGUGUAGGCCGAUGAGAGUACCAGGCGAAUAAGCAUCGGCUAACUCCGUGCCAGCAGCCGCGGUAAUACGGAGGAUGCGAGCGUUAUCCGGAUUUAUUGGGUUUAAAGGGUGCGUAGGCUGUUCGUCAAGUCAGCGGUGAAAGGCCGGGGCUCAACCCCGGAGCUGCCGUUGAUACUGUCGGGCUUGAAUACUGUUGCCGUGGGAGGAAUGAGUAGUGUAGCGGUGAAAUGCAUAGAUAUUACUCAGAACACCGAUUGCGAAGGCAUCUCACGAAGCAGCGAUUGACGCUGAGGCACGAAAGCGUGGGGAUCAAACAGGAUUAGAUACCCUGGUA
rnacentral:rRNA from 1 species